rnacentral:lncRNA from 1 species
CUUUCCUGCAUGCAAAGGCAGCUCUUGCUGCAGCAAACAGCAGCAUUUGGGGCUUUAGUUUAACCUCAAAAUACACGUAAACUUUUAAAUGAAACUAUUCUUUCAAACUCUUACUUUAUUCUAGGACCCUCUUUUAAAUUUUUUUUUCACAUCCUUUUCUGUUUGCUUUUAUACAAAAUCAGAUGAACCAAACACCUGUGAAACCUGGAACAGAAGUUGCAACUGCUCCCGGUUAUAUGGUGUCUGCCUGGCAUUUAACUGCAGGCAUUUAUUGGUCACAUUUAGCUGGCUAUGGGGAGACUACCACAAGCUUUAAUCCUGCUGAUGCAAGCCAAAAACCAAGCAAGCCUACAAGAGGACACAGGAAGCACUGGAAAAAAAUAGCACAGGGAGCGCAGGCCCUCAGUCUAACUGCUGCAUAAAUCCCAGUCUCUGUGAGGAUUAUGGUGCUACCAACACAAUAAUCACUUUUACUUCAGAGCUUCCCUGCCUUCCCAGCGUGUUUUGUAGCAUGCAUGCUGAAUGAAGUGUUAAUUGUGAA